UAAGACGUAGGGCGCGAGCGUUGUCCGGAUUUAUUGGGCGUAAAGAGCUCGUGGGCGGCUUGUCGCGUCGUCCGUGAAAACCUGCAGCUCAACUGCAGGCUUGCGGUCGAUACGGGCAGGCUAGAGUUCGGUAGGGGAGACUGGAAUUCCUGGAGUAGCGGUGAAAUGCGCAGAUAUCAGGAGGAACACCGGUGGCGAAGGCGGGUCUCUGGGCCGAUACUGACGCUGAGGAGCGAAAGCGUGGGGAGCGAACA
rnacentral:rRNA from 1 species